rnacentral:rRNA from 1 species
UACGUAGGGUGCGAGCGUUAAUCGGAAUUACUGGGCGUAAAGCGUGCGUAGGUGGUUCGUUGUGUCUGUGGGGAAAGCCCCGGGCUUAACCUGGGAAUGGCCAUGGAAACUGGCGAGCUGGAGUGUGGCAGAGGGGGGUGGAAUUCCGCGUGUAGCAGUGAAAUGCGUAGAGAUGCGGAGGAACACCGAUGGCGAAGGCAGCCCCCUGGGCUAACACUGACGCUGAGGCACGAAAGCGUGGGGAGCAAACAGG